UACGAAGGGGGCAAGCGUUAAUCGGAAUUACUGGGCGUAAAGCGUGCGCAGGCGGUUUUGUAAGCCAGAUGUGAAAGCCCCGGGCUCAACCUGGGAAUGGCAUUUGGGACUGCAAGGCUUGAGUGCGGCAGAGGAGACUGGAAUUCCUGGUGUAGCAGUGAAAUGCGUAGAUAUCAGGAGGAAUACCGAUGGCGAAGGCAGGUCUCUGGGCUGACACUGACGCUCAUGCACGAAAGCGUGGGGAGCAAACAGG
rnacentral:rRNA from 1 species